rnacentral:rRNA from 1 species
AAUAUUUCACAAUGGAGGGAACUCUGAUGCAGCAACGCCGCGUGAGUGAAGAAGGUUUUAGGAUCGUACCACUCUGUCAUUGGGGAAGAAUAAAUGACGGUACCCAAUGAGGAAGCCCCGGCUAACUACGUGCCAGCAGCCGCGGUAAUACGUAGGUGGCGCGCGUUGUCCGGAAUUAUUGGGCGUAAAGGGUUCGCAGGCGGUCUUUUAAGUCAGAUGUGAAAGAUCACGGCUCAACCGUGGUAAGCAUUUGAAACUGGGAGACUUGAGUGCAGAAGAGGAGAGUGGAAUUCCAUGUGUAGCGGUGAAAUGCGUAGAGAUAUGGAGGAACACCAGUGGCGAAGGCGACUCUCUGGUCUGUAACUGACGCUGAGGCGCGAAAGCGUGGGGAUCAAACA